rnacentral:piRNA from 1 species
UAGAGCAAAUCUAAAAGUUUAUGGCCACAA